GACGCAGUCGCGGGGCGCUGGGACGCGGCUUGCGGAGCCGGCCGGCGAGCGCAGGCCCCAGGCUCGGGCGCGGCGGCGGGACAGCACCUACCUUCCCGGCUUCGGGUCCGGGAGUGCGGGGCGCGGAGCCGCCGGAGCGCUGCCUCCCUCCUUCCUCCUCCCCUCGCCCCCGCCCCGCGGCGCGACACACAAUACUCGCCGGAAGCGGAAGCCGCGCCGAGGCUCGUGUCAGUGGAAGCUGGGGUGUCGGCGGGCGGCCGCGGCCGGGUCUAGCGGUGCCUGCGGAAGAAGGAGGAGGAGGGCUGGCGAUGAGAAGCAGCAGGGGGAAUCAAGGGCAAGAAGGGACCCAGAGGGGCAGGUGGCUGAGAUGCUGGCGUCCAGGUGACCCGAGGAAUCCUCUGGAGAUACAGGCCCGCGCAUGCGCGUGCUCGAGCGCUGAAGCCCAUUGCCCGCAGGGCGCUGGACUGGCGCCCCGGCCGGCGAGGCUGUCUAGUCCAGGCUCCAGGCCCCGGCUCUGGCCAGGCGCCGCCGCCUCCCGGUGCAGCUGAAAGUCGACGAAGAGGGCGGGGCGGGGGCGGCUUGUGGACUUCCACACUUUUCCUCUCUUCGGGCCAGUCUGGGGAGAGGGUGGCUAGCUGUGGCGGCGGCCAAUUACGUGGCGGACCUGCGGGGCUAAGCUGGCACGUCACUUCCGACUAGUGGAGUUUUUAGCCUUUUAACAUUCAAGGAUUAGAGCUCCCUCUUUGCCCACUAGCAGGGCAUUAGCUGGUGCUGAAGACAGUGGCUGCUUGGCGAGCCUGGAUCUCCAAGUGACCCCCUCAGCAACUCCUGAUGAACAGGACUGAAGCCAAUAUUAAAGCAAGUCAACCAAAGGUUCUCUGGUGUAGACAAGACAGCAAAAGGACAGACUACCUUGUGGAACCUAGCAUUGUUCUCCUUCUGCAGCACUAAGUAACAUUUGUUCUCCGUUAAGAUCUUUGCAAACCACACACAAGAAUUGCUGGUCAUCCUGCCAAUAGAUGCUGCUCACAGAACCAAAUUUCCUGUGCUGAAUUGUCACUCAUGGGCUUGAGAGUAGGAGACUGGAGACCAAGGUGGCUAGAAUCCAGUUGGGCCUGAUGUCUCCCUGUUGAAAGGGCUCCUUGUGGAAUGAAUAGCACAUGGCUCCUGUGGUGGAUCUGAUAGUGGCAUAGCACCAAGUGAUGCAGGCCUGCCAGGGGCCACAGACACAGAAGAUGCUCCCGGGGUCCCCCAUGUACUCCAGACACACUGCAGGCCACCUCUCCCAGCAGGUUGCCAGUCAUGGGCCCCAUCAUCAUGACUUCUGUCCAAGGUACUGUGUGCAGAAAUGUGAUUGAGAUUCAAGUCAGGGCCUCUCUGCCCUUUUCCCUCCAGAAACAAAACCAAGAUAAUUUAUCCUGAACACGGUGAAAAAAGGAAGGGAGGGAGGAGAAAAAGUCCGGGUCUCACCUGGGAUUCUCUGUCUCCUGCAACAUGAAGGAUUUAGCCUGGGAGGAGGUGGUGAGAACUCUGGGAGAGAAAAAAGAAGGAAAGAAUAGUUUUACCCAUGCUGAAGUUAAUUUAAACCUUCACCUAGAGAAGCAAAAAAAAAAAACCCACACUUUCCCAUUUUGUGCCUCCCUUCCUAGAGUUUUAGCCAAAGGUUUAGCUAAGUAAUUGGUUUUACCAGCGCACUCACUCCUCCUAUCCCAAGUCUGUUUGACUCCCUCCCCAUCAUCCUCCUCACCUCUUUUCAGGCAGGGUGGGGAUAGCAGCAGGAGGAGAUUUUGGGAGCCUGGCAACUCCUGCAAGGACCGCAGGACAGCCCCUCUGUGGGGAUGCGUGGUGCCCCAUCUGCCGCCCUUCUGAAGAAUGCACUGCCUUCACUUUUUACUGUGUUAGAGUCCAUCCAGACUGUUCUAUCCAAAAAAGUUUCUUUUUCCCCCACAGGCAAUCAGGAAAUGAUUCCUUUCCCGACUGCUUCUGUCUAGUGCCUGGGAAUCUUGAGUCAAUCCCUCAGUAAGUCAGUGACUAGGGAAAUCCCUCUCUGAGCCUCCCAGUUCAUGUUGCUUAGGGAACCUGAUAUUUUCGUGAAACCUGCCUACACAUGGGCAGCCCAACAGCAGAACAAAUGGUGGUGACCAAAGUGAACAAAGAAGUAUAGUUGUGCCAGCUUCGUAGUUGCCCAUGUGGACAAGUCAGCAGGAUCAGGACACGAGGAAGAGUAAAUGUGAGACAGUCAAUGUGACUUCUGCGAUAAACAGAUUUUUAAACCCCGAAAUUUUGCAAAAUUUUGGUGAAACCUGAACUUUCUUCGUUGCAUAUACUGGCACUAUCUGUACCAUCAUACAACUGUCUCACAUUAAAGCUAUUUUUCUUGGGCACUGAUGAGUAAGGUUGGUAUAAGUUCCUCAGAUCAACAAAAACCCAUUUUCCUGUAAGUCUUACAUUUAGUAUUUAAGGAACUAAAACUUAAAUACAUUUUGUGAAAUGGUUGACACUUCACUGAUAAUGAUUUAUUGCUUGGAUUAAUAAAUUUUCCAAAAGUUGUCUUAUGUAGAAUAUGGUUUGCAACCAGCAGAACCAUUAAUCUAUACUGCAAUGAUAUGCACUAUGUAUAAUUGUUUAAAAGCCUCUACUUAAUGAUGUAAAAUGCUCUAUUUAAUUACACAUUUGGGUAAACUGUAUACUAACAUCUGAUGGCAUUUUUCCACUGUUUGUUGCUUUUUUCAAAUACUUUAUUGUACAAAGCUGUUCUUAAUAUUUUUCAAGUUUUUUUCUUUGAAUUUUGCUAAUGUUUUCCUUGAAUUAUGAGCACUGACAGAAUGUGCUUAGCACUUUUGGCUAUUCACACAGCUUUUGAGCAUGAUUUGCAUCCAAUAUUUACAUUGCUAGCAAUAAUAAGCCAUCUGUGAGUUUUGUCAAAAGUUAUUGGGGAUUUUUUAAAUUUUAGAAAUGCAAAUUAUUGUUUCUUUGAACUAACUCUUAUGCAGUUGCAAAGGCAUUUCCAGUUGUUAUAGUUUGUGUACAAUAUCAGGUGUUCCAGAUUAUGAUUCAUUAUUAAUAUCAUUGCUUCCUUGUUCCCUCUGAGGUCCAGAAGAUUCAUGUUUACAAUAUUUAGAAACAAUGUUAAAAAGGUAUCCAAAGUUUGUCACUUUAUUAUUAGUUUGUUCUUAAUAUUCUGUUUAAGUUUUUGAAUUCAUAGAUAUCAAAACGCUGCACAAUUAUGAUUUCCACAGGAAUAACAACACACUAACAAUAAGAACCAAAAACAGCAAAUAGGCUGCCUACAAGUUUUGACAAUAUUAGGAUAAUGAUAAUGACAGUUUUUCUAAAUCUCACAGUAAAGAAUGCAGCAACCCAGCAACACUGCUACCUGUGGCCUCAGGCUGCAGUGUCAGCUCUUCCCUGGGUCUCCAGCCUGCCAGUCUAACCUGAAAAUUAUGUACUUGCCAGCCCCCACAGUCACGUGAGUGAACUGGCCCAGGCUGGUCACCAGGGUCAGUUUCUCUGUGUGUCAUUAAUUCAUUCAGUCUUCAGCAGUCUCUUUGGAGCUGAGAUGUACCUACCAUCUGCCUUUUGGGUGCUUAGGGUGGAGAACCAGAAAAGUAUAACCUAGUGUGUAUCCUCAAAGAGCUAACAAUAUGGGGUGGUACCUAUAGGUCUGGAAACACUUUACUGACUCUGUGAGGCAUACCAGGAGACGUCAGAGAACAGUCCCUCCUCAAAUGCCAAAUGAGAUGCAGAAGAAAUAGUUUGCUCAAGUUCAUGGGCCAGAUAUCCCAGUGGUCAGGGAGUUUCAUGAAUGAGAUGGAACUUUGCAUGGAACCCGAGGGAUGUGUAUGAUUUGAGUAGAUGAAGAAAAUGAGACUUUCCAAGCAGCUAGAAGUUAGGGAGCAGCAAGAUGUGUGGUGGGAUUGAGCACAGUUGGUUCAGAGGAUAGACUGCAGUUUUAAUAAUUUGUAGUAAAUAUCUCCCAACUGUUUGGCACUAUUGGAGCAAGUUCUUGAAUGCCAAAUGAAGGCAUAAAUCAGUAAGAGGCAUAAUAAAAGGCUGAGCAGUGCUUGGCUUUUUACGAACUGAUCCUGAUAGGAGCAGCUGUUCAACAAAGUUGCCAGGUCACCGUUACAUAGUCCCUGCCUUCUAGGGGCUCACUGCCUACUGGGAGAGACAGUCUGAAAGUUGGUGGAGCAUGUAACUGUUGGAUGAGGAGUUUGAGCCUGUGGACUGUGGGACCCCCGAGGAGGGUGUGGCUACUCUAGGCAGAACAAUCCCACAGUUUAUUUAUAUUUAACCUUGAAAUUCAUUAGAGGAUUUUUCAGCAGAGGUUUGGUACUUGUUAAUGUUAAGGUUUGCAUUCUCUAGAACCUCAAGGAAAGCUGUACCGUGCAUAAUGUACCCUCUUAUGUUAAUGUUGUGUACUGUGAUCCUGUUUCAGGGACUUGCACUUAGGAAUCUGUUACAGUGAGCACAGAAGCAGACCUGUGGGCUCAUAGUCUUCACCCCCCACCCAUAUAUACAAGAUGAACAGAGUGGAGGUUAAACAACUUGACUAAACAACACAGUUCAUGGUAAAGCCCAAGACUGUACCUGCCCAUCCACUGCCUUUUCCAUGUAUCCUGGAACUGAGCAUAGACCUCUUCCCAGGCAGAGCUGACAGCAAGUAAAGGAGAUCAUAAUCAGGGGACCAAACAACUUUGUCUAAAGUGUGAAUGUCACCUAAGGAGAAGCUGUGAGAUCAGAAGGGUGGGGCAGAGGAGCAGACACCAUGAGGGAGAGUCCUUGGGGGUACAUCUGCCAGACUGACACUGUCUGGCCUGGGCAGUGGAGGGGCUAGCAGGAACCACAGGUACUGGUGGUGUGGCUACUACCGUUACAACUGCCUGUGCUUGGACAUGGACCCUCUGCAAUAUGCGGCAGUUUCAUUCAUUGCCCCCUACAUUCUACACCAAGUAGAAAUGGAAGGCAAUUGGAUACUUCACAGACAAGAUCUAAGUGGAGAAGGAAUGCGUCCUGUGGCUGCAGAGAUCCUUGGAGCUUGGAGGGGAGAGCUUGAGCCCCACUGAUGAUGACCUCCCACAGCUCGCCAACUCAGCCCUCCCUAAGUCCCCAUCGGGGGCCAAUUCUCACUCUGGGGUUGGGGGGACUCCACCAUAGCUCAUCCAUCAUAGGGAUGUUGGUAUCUACUGUGGGUUGGGUAGGGCCGAUGUGCUGAGGAUGGCUCCCCCACAAGCAAGAGAUGUGGAUUUGGGGAGCUUCCCAUCUUGUGUUGAAGGAACAUAACUCAGAAUAAUAAGAGCCAACUAUAACAAACCCACAGCCAACAUCAUACUGAAUGGGCAAAAGCUGCAGGCAUUCCCCUUGAAAAGUGGCACAGGAUAAGGAAGCCCUUUCUCACCACUCCUAUUCAAUAUAGUGUUGAAAGUCCUGAUCACAGCAGUCAGGCAACAGAAAUAAUAAAGGGCAUCCAAAUAGGAAGAGAGGAAGUCAAACUAUCCUUGUUUGCAGACAGUAUGAUUCUAUAUCUAGAAAACCCCAUAGCCUCAGCCCAAAAGGUCCUUCAUCUGAUAAUUUCAGCAAAGUUUCAGGAGACAAAAUCAGUGUACAAAAAUCACUAACAUUCCUAUACACAGUCGCCAAGCCAAGAGCCAAAUCAGGAGCACAAUCCCAUUCAUAAUUGCCACAAAAAAGAAUAAAAUACCCAGGAAUGCAGCUAACCAAGGAAGUAAAGGAUCUCUACAAUGAGAAUCACAAACGCUGCUCAAAGAAAUCAGAGAUGACACAAACAAAUGGAAAAACUUUCCAUGCUCAUGGCUAGGAAGAAUCAAUAUCAUUAAAGUGGCCAUACUACCCAAAGCAAUUUAUAGAUUCAAUGCUAUUCCUAUCAAACUAUCAAUUACAUUUUUCACAGAACUAGAAAAAACUUAAAAUUCAUAUGGAACCAAAAAGCCUGAGUAGUCAAGGCAAUCCUAAACAAAAAGAACAAAGGUGGAGGCAUCACAUUACCUAACUUCAAACUACAGGGCUACCAUGACCAAAACAGCAUGGUACUGGUACAAAAGCAGACACACAGACCAGUGGGACAGAAUAGAGAGCCCAAAAAUAAGGCCACAAACCUACAGCCAUCUGAUCUUCAACAAAGUUGACAAAAACAAGCAAUGGGGAAAGGUCUCCCUAUUCAAUAAAUGGUGCUGGGAUAACUGGCUGGCCAUAUGCAGAAGAUCGUAACUGGACCCCUUUUACUAUGUACAAAAAUUAAGAUGGUUUAAAGAGUUAAAACCCAAAAUUAUAAAAAUCCUGAAGAUAACUUAGGCAAUACCAUUCUGGACAUAGGAACUGGCAAAUAUUUCAUGAUGAAGACACCAAAAGCAAUUGUAACAAAAGCAAAAAUGGACAAAUUGGAUUUAAGAGCUUUUUCAUAGCAAAAUAAACAACAGGGCAGACAAUCUACCAAAUGACAGAAAAUUUUUGCAAACUAUGCAUCUGACAAGGGGCUAAUAUCUAGCAUCUAUAAGGAAUUUAAACACAGUUACAGGAAAAAAAAAACCCACUCCAUUAAAAAAUGGGCAAAGGACAUGAACAGACACUUUUCAAAAAAGACAUACAUACAGCCAACUAGCGUGUUAAAGAAAACCUCAAUUAUCACUGAUCAUUAGAGAAAUGCAAAAUCAAAACCAUGAUGAGAUAUCAUCUGCCAGUCAGGAUGGCUACAAAAAAGUAAAAAAAUAAUAGAUGUUGGUGAGGUUAUGGAGAAAAGGAACUUAUACACUUGUUAGGAGUGUAAAUUAGUUCAAUCACUGUGGACAGCAGUGUGGUGAUUCCUCAGAGAGCUAAAAACAACUACCAUUUGACUCACCAAUCCCAUUACUGGAUAUUUACCUAAAGGAAUAUAAAUCAUUCCACCAUAAAGACACAUGCAAGUGUAUGUUCAUUGCAGCACUAUUAACAGUAACAAAGCUGGGCACAGUGGCUCACCUCACGACUGUAAUCCCAGCACUUUGGGAGGCUGAGGUAGGCGGAUCACCUGAGGUCGGCAGUUUGAGACCAGCCUGACCAACAUGGAGAGACCCCAUCUCUACUAAAAAUACAAAAUUAGCCAGGUGUGGUGGCUCAUGCCUGUAAUCCCAGCUACUUGGGAGGCCAAGGCAGGAGAAUUGCUUGAACCCAGGAGGCAGAGGUUGCAGUGAGCCGAGAUCACACCAUUGCACUCUAGCCUGGUGAAGGAGCAAG
rnacentral:lncRNA from 1 species